CUAUAGUGUCCCUUUAACUUCAAAUUCUUGAAGGCAUAAAAAAUCUAGGAAAGACUAUGUGAGUGCAAUGUAGCAGUGGUUCUGCGUUAAAACAGUCACUGGAAGACCCUUUGCUGCAUAUGAAGGAGAGUAACCAAUAUACCGUGCCACAAAUUGGCAAUACACACAUGAACUUGAGAAGGAAUUUAUAGGUUAGGGGAUGUUCUACAUCAUUUU